UCAUAUCAAUAGUCAUUAUUUCUGGCUUAAAUAGAUUUACAUCAUUCCCCAUUUUAGAUUCCUUCUUUACAAGUUUUUCGUUCUCUCUCUAACAAUUUAUGAUGUUGCAUGUUUGUAAAUUGUGUUUUUAUUUUUGUUGCUAGAAUUUGAUUAUUAUUUUAAGUUUAAAUGUUGAUGUUAUCUUUUGUGAUUUGUGCUCCCUAUGUGAUUUUUUGGUAACUUGAUCUGUCCCCAGUCCCCCUUUCCCCUUUUUGCUUGCUUGUUCUUCAUAGCAUGGGUGUAUUGAUAUUUUAUGUGUGUUUUUCUUUUUCUUAAUGCAAUUAUGUUAUUUUCUUUAUAAAUUUUUAGGGUUAAAACUUUUUCAUUAGGGUUAGGGUUUGUUGUUGCUUUUUUAAUGUAUGUGUGUAUGUAUGUUGAUCCUAGGAUUGUUUUUGUUAAAACAAUCGAAUUACUUAUAACUUUACUAUGAUAAAGUCUCAUUCCUUGAUUAGUAAUUGAAUGAAUUUGUUAAUUGUAGUGUAGAUAGUUUGAAUUUCCUUUUUAUCUAUAUUACUGUAACUUUAUUAAUUAAUAAUUUUGAAUGCUCGGAUUUCAUAUGAAUUCUGGUUUAGUGCUUAUCUUUCUUUAAUUAAUUAGUCAUGAUUUAGAGGAAACCUUGAAUUUUCCUAUUGAAUUGAUACAAAUGUCAUAGAUUAUGAAAGACUUGUUCUGUAAUUUGAUGUUGAACUGUUGAAGUAAAGUUUAUACCUUAGUAUAAAAUUGAGUAUUUCCUCUAAAUAAUUAAAUGAAAUUCAUUAAUUGUUUAUAGUGUUUAAACAUGAUGAUUGAAUGAAAUAGGAGUAAGUUUGGGAUUUGAAAUAGUUGAGAAUAGUUAUAGUUCGUAAUAAUGUGAAAGAAGAAGUAGAGUAAGAGAGCUUCCUUCAGCCCACUCAUGGAUGGAAAAAAGGGGUAUUGAAUUAUCUGCCGACUCAUUCAUUCAAACACUGAGUAGAACAAACAAGGAAUGUACAACACGCAUGCGUACAGGGGGUGCAAGUGCAAGUGCAAGUGCAAGUGCUACUGUGAUUGCGUGAAUGAUGCGGGAGAUGAUUUCAUCCUUGUCUCUCCGUGCUUGGACUGAAGGGAGCUCCCUUUCUCUAUUCCCUUCUUUUUUUUGUCUGCAUUUUAAUACCAACAUCCAUCCAUCCAUCCAUCCAUCAUUUCCCACUUUAUUCCAUCUUUCCAGACAUUUCAACAUUCCUUGUCUUUGAUUGAUUUCUCUUGCUACAUGUUUGUUUUUGGGUUUACAAGUAAGUAGUGAUCGAAUUAUGCUUAAUAUUCUGCAAAUGUCAUCUUACAUUCAAGUAUGCUGAUCUAGUGAUCUCUACUGGAUUUCCUUCACAUUUGAUUCUCUCUUUCUUUGUUAUGGUCGAAUUAUAAAUUGUAUUCUGCAGAUAUACAUUACAGUUUUAGCGUAGUCAUAUACAAACCACAUUGUCUUAUCUCUUGAUUAUUGAUUGAAGCUUGUAUCAUGUGGUGAUUUCAAAUUUCAAAUUUCAAAUUUCAAAUUUCUGUUAACUAAUUAAUCUGCAAAUCCUUUGCCGUAGGGAAUUGAUGGAUUGCUAUUUGAAUAUAGUUUUGACAACAUUUGUUCUUGGAGUUGGAGUUGGAGUGAGUUUGGUUGGUCUUAAAACCUUGAGUUUACCGGAAGAAUAUGUGGUUGAGGUCAUUGUAAACUCCAGACUUUGUGUUUCAAGUCAGUAGAUGAACUCUUUGUUAAGAUAGGUCAAAAAUUCAAAAUGUGUUAUUGUCAAGUAUGCUACUUGGACAUUUCAUUGCACCUCUAAGUAGCUUCUUGCGCAAUUGAUUAUUGAUCCCAACUUACUGAUUCAUGUUCGUUCAAAUCAAUGUCUGCAAGCUAGUUGGUGAAAUCUUGAAACGAUCCAGGUGAAUACAAUGUACACUGUGAUUGUCAUCUGAGUUUGUUAGGCAUACCGCAUUUUGUCGGUCCAAAUGCAUCCAUGGUAAUUUACGGGCCGAGGUAUUCUCUCUUCCUUCUCCAUUCCUCCCCGUCCUCCUGAAGAUGUAGUUAGAUCAAAGCAGCUCAUUGGUGAAUGGUGAAUGGUGAAUGGUGAUUGGCCUAGUUAAACCGACAUUCAUUCGGAUUUGUCGCCCUUUUUUAUCUAGGAUUUGGGAAAAAGGCAAAGGGAAGUAAGCAUGAUACAGGCUACUCUAUUUUAAAGUACAAUCUCUUAAUUAAUGGAGUAAUUAAGUAUACUCAAAAUGAGCAUAGUUUAAUCAUGGACUUGCUCACAAGUACAAAUUCUCGGGGGUAUUUAAGCAUCAAAUGCUCACUUCAUCGAGUUCUCCGAUAAUUCAAGUACAACCUUAACCCAAUAUUGUUAUCCUUUGAAACCGUGAUCAUGUCUUUGUGCUUGCUCUUUUUUCUAUAUUCAAAUAAUGCGGCUGCUGCUCCGUUCAAUUAACUUUUUCAAUAUUUUAUUCAUUAUUAUUAUUAUUGGAGUAUAAAUUUGCUAAUUGCUUCAAUUUAGUUUGGUUUAGGCACCGGAUACCUCUUCGAGUUUACCAAAUAUGGAUGAUUUCUACUCCUUGUCGCAUUGUCUGUUUUGGUAAUAAGGUUGUUUAAUAUUAUAAACUACCAGCAUUUUGCAUGA